UUAACCUUUGAGUACCCUGUGUGCGUUACAGUGUUAUAACUGCCGUAGCUUUCAACACACUUUACAAGCAAAAAAUAAAUUGAAUGUAAAUAUAUAUAUGUAAAUGGUGAAUUCAGGGGGAUGCUCACCUUGUUACACUCGCUCAAGUACUAGUACAUGUAUAUGCUGAAUAGAAACUCCCCCAAAACUUACGAAAACGAUGCUUUGUGCCUGAAUGGUACAUGUUAUUCUUCAGUUCCGAGAGAACAACUUGAUAACAUCCGAAAGCUUUUCCAGCAUAGAAAGUCCAAUAUUAUUUUGUACAUAAAACUGACAAUAAAAUGCAAAAAUCUAGCACAGUUAGGCCAUCAUCUUGCACUCUAUGCUAACGUUUGGGGUUCCAGCACAAAUAGCCCAUAUGUUAAAGAUAAGUUUAGAAAUCUUUGAUUUUAAAUUUUUAAUGUAACACCUGUACAAAAAACAUAAAAAUAUAUACAUGUAAAUCCUUCUGUUACACAUACAGAGUUUUAAUUAAUGCAUAAAUGCUUCCAAAAGUUGCUUUGCAUUUUACUUGAGAGGCAAUAACAAUUUAUAAAUUUAAAAUGUAAUCAUUAAUGCAUAGAAUAUUUUUAAGAUGCAAUGCAUGAACAUAACAAUAACCAUAAUAUAAUAAAGCCAACCACAACAUGAAUCGUAGCUAGCUACAACAUGAAUCUUAGCUACAACAUGAAUUGUAGCUAGCUACAACAUGAUAUUUAUAAUGAGUGUAUACAGUGGAGCCUCAGUUAUCCGGACGCUUUCGUUCCCAAGUCAAAUCGUCCGGAUAGGUGAAACGUCCGGGUAUCUGAAAUGUGUCUAUUGUUGUCAUGAAUGAUAAUGUAUUUGUAUACAAUGGUUCCCAGUGUUGAUACUGGGUCUUUUGCCUUUCAUACCAUAUAGCAACACAUGCUAGAGUUGUCUGUUGAUAUGAAUGUUAUAGAAAUAAAGAACUCUGCUUUAUUUUAUUAUUUUGUCAUGAAUAUUAACCGGACAAUAAUGAUAACCGAAUCUAACUAAAUUCUUUGUGUCCAAGUGUGAUAUGUGUGUGAUACACUGUUGUUCGCAAUUUUCCAAUUUUUGAAAGUGAUUUGGGAAGUCAGUGUGUUUAUACAAACUACUCAUGAGGGUCUAGCACGUAAAAAAGAUGUGAAACUUACAAAAUGUAAUUGACAGGGGUAAUCUUUUGUACUGAGUAGGGUAUUAUUAAAUUUAACCGUCCGGUUAAAUGAAGCAAGAUUAGUAGUAAAAACAGACCGUCCAGAUCCGGAAUGCGGAAUUCCGGAUAAAUGAGACAAAAUAAGUAUAAAAAAAUAUGUUCCCAAAUAAAAUCGUCCGUAAACUGAAGCGUCUGGUUGUCUGGCAUCCGGAUAUCUGAGGCCCCACUGUAAAUAGACACCACAUCAUCCUCUUCCUUAUAAGCUUCUUAAUGACAGAGUGCUGUUAGAAAAUACAAAUAAAUCCCACAAUAAUAUAAACAUGUACCAUAUAUAGCAGAUCCCCCAUUGUUGUGUCAACAAUUACCAUACCAAUAAAACUGACUCUCUGUAUAAUUUUUAGUAACAGAGAAUUCAAACUUACAUACAUAAAUCCUGCAGCCUUUCACAAGAAAAUUGUGUCUACUUAUAGCGAUGUUAAAUGAUUUUUAAAUAAAAUCUCCAUAAAAAGCAGAAAACUCCUUUUAGUAUAUGCACUGAUACCAUAAAAAAAUCAUCACCAUUACUGACUAGUAUUGUCAACUGUAGACAAAGAUAAAAUUUAAAAAAAUCAUGAACAGUAAAACACGGUUAUAGCAAACACGCUUAUAAUGAAUUGAAGCUUACAGCGAAGUUAUUUUUAUUCCCCGUGACUAUGUUACAUGUUGUAAACUUAAUGUAUA